rnacentral:rRNA from 1 species
UCCGCAGGCGGAUUAAUAAGUCAGUGGUGAAAUCCCAUCGCUUAACGAUGGAACUGCCAUUGAUACUGUUAGUCUUGAAUUCGGUCGAAGUGGGCGGAAUGUGUCAUGUAGCGGUGAAAUGCAUAGAUAUGACACAGAACACCGAUAGCGAAGGCAGCUCACUAGGCCUGAAUUGACGCUCAGGGACGAAAGCGUGGGGAGCGAACAGGAUUAGAUACCCUGGUAGUCC